AUAAAACUGAUGUCUUACAAGUCUAGUCUAGUUAAUACUAGAACCAAUAAUUAUAUAUACAUAUGUAUUCCCAUAACUACAACUCGUGACGCUUUGCGCAGGUGAACUGUUCACGGCGCGGAAGCGUGACGAUUGACGCUCGUCAUUCUUACACGCUCGCCAAUUACGUGGUAAAAUACUCUGGGUGACAGAGCUGGGACAUCCUUUUAAGGUUAGGACGCUAUUAAAGAACUGUAGACUCGCGCGGGCGCGGCGAUGACGUCAUGUGCACGCAUUCAACGCGUGUUGCCGUUGUCACGCCCACUGCACGUUACCAAAGUAACUCUCGCAGGACGGGCUAAAGAACAGGGGGCAAACGGGCAGGUGGCACAUCUAAUGUUAAGUGAUACCGCUGCAUACUCUUAAUGUUCAAGGGCCCGCGCGUUCGUUCCGAACUUUUAAGUAUUGGAAGGUUAUUUUCUCGAAGACGUUUAUAGCUUUUUCCAUAAGCAUAAUAUCAAAUUGUUAUCUCUCAAGUUGUUGCAGUAUCUCGAUGACUACGAUUGCUGAAAACAGCUCGAAACGUCGUGAUGUAAUAGUGUUUUAUGCUUCAACGAAGUAUUAUUAUUCAUUAAAUAAUAACGAUAUCUGA